rnacentral:rRNA from 1 species
AUUGAACGCUGGCGGCAGGCCUAACACAUGCAAGUCGAACGAGUGGCGGACGGGUGAGUAAUGUCUGGGAAACUGCCCGAUGGAGGGGGAUAACUACUGGAAACGGUCGCUAAUACCGCAUACCCUCGGAUGUGCCCAGAUGGGAUUAGCUAGUAGGUGGGGUAACGGCUCACCUAGGCGACGCGCCCUAGCUGGUCUGAGAGGAUGACCAGCCAACCUGGAACUGAGACACGGUCCAGACUCCUACGGGAGGCAGCAGUGGGGAAUAUUGCACAAUGGGCGCAAGCCUGAUGCAGCCAUGCCGCGUGUAUGAAGAAGGCCUUCGGGUUGUAAAGUACUUUCAGCGGGGAGGCGUUACCCGCAGAAGAAGCACCGGCUAACUCCGUGCCAGCAGCCGCGGUAAUAC